rnacentral:lncRNA from 1 species
GAGACUGUGCGGUGGCAGCCAUGGCGGACGGUUGCGAUGAGGCUGCUCCUGGGUCUCGCGGCUAUCCAAGACCAUCGAGGGUCCCCGGCGGCGCCUGCCGUCUGCUGAGGCUGGGUGGACUCCUCUGCCGCAGAUCUCCUGUAAGAUGUGCUGGUAAGUGACGCUGCCCGGGGCCCAGCUCCUCGCUCCCAGAACCGGGCGCGCUGGUCACUGUUACUUCAUGGGGGAAAUUCUUACUGAAUCAACUAGUGACUUGGCCUACGGCUCCCAGGGGUUUUCUGAACUGUAAAAUACAUACCGAGAAUAAUAUUCAAGAAAAGGGGAUUUUGUGUAUAGAUGUGAUCAGCGUCUUUGUAAAAGGAAGGAAGUUAGUCCACUGCUACCGCCACAAUUCCGCCUCUGUCUGCCGGUGCCAAAUUGAAACGCAGACACAGAGUUUGGGGUAAAGGAGGGGAAAAAAAAUAGUUUAAUUGCUUUGCCAGGCAAAGGAGGAUCACAGCAGGUUAAUGCCUUAAAGACUGUCCCUUCCCCCCCACCCCAGUUAGAAAGAAUUGGAAGGAGUUUUAUAGCAAAAAGGAGAAAAACAGGUUUUCAGAUAGGAAUCAGUAUUGGGACAAACAUGCAUUCAUCUUUCUUUGGGUCAGUCUUGGUCAUCAAAGCUGGAGUCGGGAGAUUUUCACAGUGGUGGUUUUCUGGGUUAUUGCCUAGAAUAACAGUACUUGCGAAAGGGCCGUAUUGAUCAGAGAUCAGAACAAGCUGGGAAAGUUCCUGAAAAAACAUCCCGUGCUAAUAAUCUUUAACCCACAGGCCAUUGUGCUCAGGAUGCCUAAUCUUUAGCUUACAGGUGAUUGUGUUUAGGGUGUAACUAAGUCAGGAAGAAGAAUAAGCUGUUAAAUUUCAAAGUAUUCAUUUCAAAAAGAAGCGUAAGGAAUAUGAUUUUUCUCUGAGAGGUAUGAUAAGACUGCCUCUCCCAAGGCUGCUUGUCUUCCUCCCUCAAACAGAAAGGAUUGCUGUGUCCUUCUUACUAUCAAGAGUUGUCGGAGUUCCCGUCGUGGCGCAGUGGUUAAUAAAUGCGACUAGGAACCAUGAGGUUGCGGGUUCGGUCCCUGCCCUUGCUCAGGGGGUUAACGAUCCGGCGUUGCCGUGAGCUGUGGUGUAGGUUGCGGACGCGGCUCGGAUCCCGCGUUGCUGUGGCUCUGGUGUAGGCCGGUGGCUACAGCUCCCAUUGGACCCCUAGCCUGGGAACCUCCAUAUGCCGCAGGAGCGGCCCAAGAAAUAGCAACAACAACAACAACAAAAAGACAAAAGACAAAAAAAAAAAGAGUUGUCUCUGUCCAGGGGCUUCAGGAGGAAACCCAAGUAGGCCUAAUCCAACCCCAUGAUCUCUCCUCUCAGCUUCUGGUCCCGGCUGGUGCUCAGUACAGCUGAAUGCCCAGGGCUUUAGGGGCUUGAAGGAACGUGGGCUGCAAGCCUCCAGCGUGCUUGGGUCUGCGGUGACCCUGUGCAUUCCUACAGUGCUUGCAAGAAAAUUUUGAGAUGGUUUGAGGCCUUGCCCUGCUUCAUCCAGAGCAAGGUUAUAGAAAUUUCAGACACUGUUUUGCUCCCUUCCCUAUCUGGUGUGCUGGGCACUGUGCAGGUCUGUACCAUCUGAGGCGGUGACCACUUGACACAUUCGGUUAAAUUUAAGAUUCCGUCUUUCGUUCACACUAGCCACGGUUUAGAUGGAUGCUCAUUAGCCACACUUGGCAAGUGGCUGCUCUGUUGCACCGUGCACAUUAGAGAGCGUUAAUGUCUUUGAAGAAAUUGUUUUGGACUUUGGGUGUUUACCGUGCUCCAGGCUUGUAAAUUUUAUUAUAUCCUUCAAACGAAAGCCUUAGAAAAGUUGAAAAUGGGAGUUCCCUUGAUGGCUUAGUGGUUAAUGAACCCGACUAGUAUCCAAGAGGAUGCAGCUUCAAUCCCUGGCCUUGCUCAGAGGAUUAAGGAUCCUGCGUUGCCGUCAGCUGUGUAAGUUGCAGGCAAAGCUUGGAUCUGGCGGGGCUGUGGUGUAGGCCGGCAGCUGCAGCUCCGUUUGGACCCCUAGCCUGGGAACCUCCGUAUGCCUCGGGCAUGGCCCUAGAAAGAUGUAAAGGAAAAGAAAAUGAAGCUUGAGGGAGUGGUAAAGAUGGAGUUAGACCAGCUAGUAGGAAAUAGAGUGGAAAGGAAUAAUAGGGAUGGGCCAUGCCCUGGGGGAUAUUUACCAUUGGCAGGGAAACCAAAGAGAAGGAAGGGCCAGCCAGGUUCUAUAGCAGGGCCGAGUGUCCCCGGAGCUUACUGGGGGGCGGGGGUCGUUGCACAUUGAUCUUAAAGGAAGAUCUAAUAUAGCAGGGCCGAGUGUCCCCGGANGGGGGGGGGGGGGGGGGGGGGGGGGGUCGCAUUGAUCUUAAAGGAAGAUCUAGUGGGAGAGAAGGGCACUUGUGUUGAUUGAACUCUUGUCUUGCAGACUUAAUUCUUAACCCGCCAGAAGUCUUCGAGGACCACCGUUAGGCCAUCUUAGGUCCAGUACAGGUGGGGGGCCACGGUCAGGAUUAAGUGUCCAGGGUUGCCUGGCCAGACACUGGAAGGUCAGGAUUGGAUGCCAGGCCUCUCCAACCCUACUGGCUCCACUCCUUUCCCGGAUGCCAGAUUGGAAGGGAGGGGUGGAAUCUAGAGGCAAUGGCUGGUUUGAGUCGGAGGGCAAUGCCAGGAUGGAGUAGGCAGCACAGCUCCUGAGCUCCUGGACGGUGGGGUCACACCACCACCCCUUCUCUCUUGAAGGUUAAGGCUUCUGGCAGAUUCGGGUCAGUCCCAAGUGCGACCGGUCUUCUGGGGCUGCCGUCCGCAGACCCUUCUCGGUGAGUCACGCUUCUGCAGUCCUGGGGGCAAGUUAACCCUUUGACUUUCUUUUCAAAAACGUUCAAAUAGCAGAGAGCCUUGGGAUGUCUGCGCUAGUCUCUCCAGAGCAGAGAGCACGUGUGGCCACUGUGUGUGUGACUUGACUUUCCUGCGCUCGGAGUACCUCUUUUCUUUCCUUCUUUCCUUCCGUCUCCCCCUCUCUCUCUGUCUCUCCCUCUCCCUCUCCCCAUGGCAUACGGAAGUUCCCAGGCCAGGGGUACAAGCUGUGCCUCCAGUGACCUGAGCCCGGCUUCUUAGCCCGCUGCGUGUGCUGGUGCCUUCUGGCUCCCUUUGUCUCCCUGUAAGACAUGGGGCUGGUGGGAAGUGCUGAUGUUGUGGCCGCUGCUGUUGUGAAUAAUCGACUGGCUUUGCCCGUGUCUCCUUUCAGCAUCCACGUACCUGGCGGCCUCCCUCAUCGCGUGCUGUUGGUAGGGGGGCGAGUCAGGCCCUGUACACGUCCUGACAGGCACCCGGCCCACCCCCAGCCAACUGUGCGCUGUGUUCCUGCCCCAGCACGAGACCUGUGGGGUGUCCGCGGCAGAAAAUGUCAGAGCUGGAAGAGACCUGAGAGGCGAUCCCUUGGUGGGUGAUGGGUUCUUCCGGGAAUCUGGUGGUUUGCGCGCCUUGUCGUCUGCUUCCAGAACAAGGAUCUUCGCUGUACGCCAAGACCCAGACCCCUCUGACAUCGGAAUGACAAGUGGGAUAUUUAAUAAAACAGUUUCAAAUUUGGAGU